GACGAACGCUGGCGGCGUGCCUAAUACAUGCAAGUUGAGCGCUGAAGGUUGGUACUUGUACCAACUGGAUGAGCAGCGAACAGGUGAGUAACGCGUGGGGAAUCUGCCUUUGAGCGGGGGACAACAUUUGGAAACGAAUGCUAAUACCGCAUAAAAACUUUAAACACAAGUUUUAAGUUUGAAAGAUGCAAUUGCAUCACUCAAAGAUGAUCCCGCGUUGUAUUAGCUAGUUGGUGAGGUAAAGGCUCACCAAGGCGAUGAUACAUAGCCGACCUGAGAGGGUGAUCGGCCACAUUGGGACUGAGACACGGCCCAAACUCCUACGGGAGGCAGCAGUAGGGAAUCUUCGGCAAUGGACGAAAGUCUGACCGGGCAACGCCGCGUGAGUGAAGAAGGUUUUCGGAUCGUAAAACUCUGUUGGUAGAGAAGAACGUUGGUGAGAGUGGAAAGCUCAUCAAGUGACGGUAACUACCCAGAAAGGGACGGCUAACUACGUG
rnacentral:rRNA from 1 species